AAAAACUAUACAAUUUAAAUUUAUUAGAUUUCAUAUACCAUAUUCCAAAUGAGCUUGUAUCCUUUAAGAUAUCUUAAAAUUCAUUUGGCGAUCGCAAAGUGUUGCUUACUUGACUUUGUAUAAAUCUAAACAAAUGACUUACUGCUUGCAAAAUAUCCGACCUGCUAUUUGUUAGAUAUAGCAAACUCCAUAUCAAAAUUCAAUAAAUUUAAAGUUCAAUCUUCUCUUCUCCAUCAUCAAAACAAAAC
rnacentral:lncRNA from 1 species